CAAUUUCCAUAAGGUGAAUACAGAAAGGAACUACAAGCAUUGGAAAUGAAUGGGGGAGUUUAAUUCAGCCGCGUUUCACUCCCACUGAGGAGGCAUACAGAUGGCUGCACAGAACUCAGCAAAAACAGAGCCAGGAGUCAGGGAGAGGGAGACUUCAACUGGGGUUUCGAGUGGAGUUGCUCAUUUAUUUCCCCCUGUAUCAGUCUGCCUCCUGGGAUAUCGCAUGGACAGGUACAGGCAAACAGUUCCAAAUAAGGGAAUGCAUGCUGUGCGAGUGUAAUGCUCUGCUUUCCUUAGUGGCAUGUUUUCAGCAAGUUUGCCAUGUGCUACAGCUGGCCUAGGCAGGAUUUUGCAAAAGGAAAGAAGAAUAUUCACACUAAGGUCCCUGAAGCCACACUUCUGCAAACUAGCAGCUACCAAAAAGGUCAAAACAAGUAUUCUCAUUUUGACUGGACUCCCUGCUUCAGAAUUCUGUAUUUGGAGCACUUCAGGAGAUGCCCGAAGUUUCUACUACCAUACUUAAAGAGUCACCAAAGCAGGAAAUGUGAGCUCAUGCCAGCUUUCUUAGGGGGAAAAAGAAGAUCUUCAAAGCAACAGUAUAAUUCUAGCAUCUCCAGAAAUGCUAAAGCCCUGACAAUUGUCUGAAGAAAAGUGUUG
ensembl:lncRNA